rnacentral:piRNA from 1 species
GACAGGCUCAGUGCCCAGUUCUGGGUGUCC